AGGAUGAACGCUGGCGGCGUGCUUAACACAUGCAAGUCGAACGGUGAAGCAGAGCUUGCUCUGUGGAUCAGUGGCGAACGGGUGAGUAACACGUGAGCAAUCUGCCCCUGACUCUGGGAUAAGCGCUGGAAACGGCGUCUAAUACCGGAUACGAGCUGCGACCGCAUGGUCGGCAGUUGGAAAGAAUUUCGGUCAGGGAUGAGCUCGCGGCCUAUCAGCUUGUUGGUGAGGUAAUGGCUCACCAAGGCGUCGACGGGUAGCCGGCCUGAGAGGGUGACCGGCCACACUGGGACUGAGACACGGCCCAGACUCCUACGGGAGGCAGCAGUGGGGAAUAUUGCACAAUGGGCGAAAGCCUGAUGCAGCAACGCCGCGUGAGGGAUGACGGCCUUCGGGUUGUAAACCUCUUUUAGCAGGGAAGAAGCGAAAGUGACGGUACCUGCAGAAAAAGCGCCGGCUAACUACGUGCCAGCAGCCGCGGUAAUACGUAGGGCGCAAGCGUUAUCCGGAAUUAUUGGGCGUAAAGAGCUCGUAGGCGGUCUGUCGCGUCUGCUGUGAAAACCCGAGGCUCAACCUCGGGCCUGCAGUGGGUACGGGCAGACUAGAGUGCGGUAGGGGAGAUUGGAAUUCCUGGUGUAGCGGUGGAAUGCGCAGAUAUCAGGAGGAACACCGAUGGCGAAGGCAGAUCUCUGGGCCGUAACUGACGCUGAGGAGCGAAAGGGUGGGGAGCAAACAGGCUUAGAUACCCUGGUAGUCCACCCCG
rnacentral:rRNA from 1 species